rnacentral:rRNA from 2 species
ACGUAGGGGGCAAGCGUUAUCCGGAUUUACUGGGUGUAAAGGGAGCGUAGACGGCAAGGCAAGUCUGAUGUGAAAACCCAGGGCUUAACCCUGGGACUGCAUUGGAAACUGUCUGGCUCGAGUGCCGGAGAGGUAAGCGGAAUUCCUAGUGUAGCGGUGAAAUGCGUAGAUAUUAGGAAGAACACCAGUGGCGAAGGCGGCUUACUGGACGGUAACUGACGUUGAGGCUCGAAAGCGUGGGGAGCAAACAG